rnacentral:rRNA from 1 species
AUCUCAGAUUAAGUAAGGAGACCCGCUGAAUUUAAGCAUAUAAUUAAGCGGAGGAAAAGAAACUAACCAGGAUUCCCUCAGUAAGGGCGACUGAAGCGGGAAGAGCUCAAACCGAAGAAUUGUGGUGUGUUUGCGUUAUCGCUCGGCCGAAGUCCCUUGGAACAGGGCAGCAUAGAGGGUGAGACUCCCGUUCGGCUGUGCAUUUGAGCUUACAUGAUUGAGUCGAGUUGUUUGGGAUUGCAGCUCAAAGUGGGUGGUAAAUUCCAUCGAAAGCUAAAUAUUGGUGGGAGACCGAUAGCGUACAAGUACCGUGAGGGAAAGAUGCAAAGAACUUUGAAAAGAGAGUUAAAGAGUACCUGAAAUUGCUGAAAUGGAAGCGAAGGAAACCAGUGUUUUGCGUGUCAU